rnacentral:rRNA from 1 species
UACGGGGGGGGCAAGCGUUGUUCGGAAUUACUGGGCGUAAAGGGCUCGUAGGCGGCCCACUAAGUCAGAUGUGAAAUCCCCAGGCUCAACCUGGGAACUGCAUCUGAUACUGGUGGGCUUGAAUCCGGGAGAGGGAUGCGGAAUUCCAGGUGUAGCGGUGAAAUGCGUAGAUAUCUGGAGGGACACCGGUGGCGAAGGCGGCAUCCUGGACCGGUAUUGACGCUGAGGCGCGAAAGCCAGGGGAGCAAACGGG